CCCCAAAUUUCGGGGUGCUAUACAUGCAAGUCGAGCGGACAGAUGGGAGCUUGCUCCCUGAUGUUAGCGGCGGACGGGUGAGUAACACGUGGGUAACCUGCCUGUAAGACUGGGAUAACUCCGGGAAACCGGGGCUAAUACCGGAUGGUUGUCUGAACCGCAUGGUUCAGACAUAAAAGGUGGCUUCGGCUACCACUUACAGAUGGACCCGCGGCGCAUUAGCUAGUUGGUGAGGUAACGGCUCACCAAGGCGACGAUGCGUAGCCGACCUGAGAGGGUGAUCGGCCACACUGGGACUGAGACACGGCCCAGACUCCUACGGGAGGCAGCAGUAGGGAAUCUUCCGCAAUGGACGAAAGUCUGACGGAGCAACGCCGCGUGAGUGAUGAAGGUUUUCGGAUCGUAAAGCUCUGUUGUUAGGGAAGAACAAGUGCCGUUCAAAUAGGGCGGCACCUUGACGGUACCUAACCAGAAAGCCACGGCUAACUACGUGCCAGCAGCCGCGGUAAUACGUAGGUGGCAAGCGUUGUCCGGAAUUAUUGGGCGUAAAGGGCUCGCAGGCGGUUUCUUAAGUCUGAUGUGAAAGCCCCCGGCUCAACCGGGGAGGGUCAUUGGAAACUGGGGAACUUGAGUGCAGAAGAGGAGAGUGGAAUUCCACGUGUAGCGGUGAAAUGCGUAGAGAUGUGGAGGAACACCAGUGGCGAAGGCGACUCUCUGGUCUGUAACUGACGCUGAGGAGCGAAAGCGUGGGGAGCGAACAGGAUUAGAUACCCUGGUAGUCCACGCCGUAAACGAUGAGUGCUAAGUGUUAGGGGGUUUCCGCCCCUUAGUGCUGCAGCUAACGCAUUAAGCACUCCGCCUGGGGAGUACGGUCGCAAGACUGAAACUCAAAGGAAUUGACGGGGGCCCGCACAAGCGGUGGAGCAUGUGGUUUAAUUCGAAGCAACGCGAAGAACCUUACCAGGUCUUGACAUCCUCUGACAAUCCUAGAGAUAGGACGUCCCCUUCGGGGGCAAAAUGACAGGUGGUGCAUGGUUGUCGUCAGCUCGUGUCCUGAGAUGUUGGGUUAAGUCCCGCAACGAGCGCAACCCUUGAUCUUAUUUGCCAGCAUUCAGUUGGGCACUCUAAGGUGACUGCCGGGGGACAAACCGGAAGGAAGGUGGGGGAUGACGUCAAAUCAUCAUGCCCCUUAAUGACCUGGGCUAACAACGUGGCUACAAUGGAACAGAACAAAGGGGCAGCGAAACCCGCGAGGUUAAGCCCAUUCCCCAAAAUCUGUUUUCCAGUUCGGAAUCGAAAU
rnacentral:rRNA from 1 species